AGCGGGAAAAGCUCAAAUUUAAAAUCUGGCAGGUGUUUGUCUGUCCGAGUUGUAACCUAAAGAAGUGUAACCUGUGCUGGACCGUGUACAAGUCUCCUGGAAUGGAGCAUCAUAGAGGGUGAGAAUCCCGUCUUUGACAUGGACUACCAGUGCACUGUGGUUGCACACUCAACGAGUCGAGUUGUUUGGGAAUGCACUCUAAAUGGGUGGUAAAUUCCAUCUAAAGCUAAAUAUUGCGAGAGACCGAUGGCGAACAAGUACCGUGAGGGAAAGAUGAAAAGAACUUUGGAAAGAGAGUUAAACGGUAUGUGAAAUUGUUGAAAGGGAAACGCUUGAAGUCAGCUGCAUUGGCUGGGGAUCAAGCCACUUUUUUGCUGGGUGUACUUCCUGGUUGAUGGGCCAACAUCAGUUUUGCCAUCAGAGAAAGGCCAAGGGAAUGUGGCACCUGUAUAGGUGUGNUAUAGCCCUUGGUUGUAUGUGAUGGUUGGGACUGANGA
rnacentral:rRNA from 1 species